UGGAAAUCAGUUCUCUUCUGCAGCCCAAGU
rnacentral:piRNA from 1 species